rnacentral:rRNA from 1 species
GACGGAGGGUGCAAGCGUUGUUCGGAUUGACUGGGCGUAAAGAGCGCGCAGGCGGUCGUUCAAGUCGAGUGUGAAAGCCCCCGGCUCAACUGGGGAGGGUCACUCGAUACUGAUCGACUCGAAGGCAGGAGAGGGUAGUGGAAUUCCCGGUGUAGUGGUGAAAUGCGUAGAUAUCGGGAGGAACACCAGUGGCGAAGGCGACUACCUGGCCUGUUCUUGACGCUGAGGCGCGAAAGCUAGGGGAGCAAACGGG